AUGCUGGAAGAGCCGUGCUUUGCCCAGAGGGCUCAGGGAGGACGCUCUCUGACCUGUGCCAGCUUUGAUGGCUCCAGGCGCUCCUUGGCUUGUGGCCACAUCACUCCAGUGCCACCUCUGUCUUUGUGUGGCUUUCUCACGGGGAGCUUCACUGACCUGCUGCCAGGAUUAGGCACCUUGUGUACAUCAUCCCCAGGAAUGACUGGAGACAGCUGUGAGCCAGGUGGUGCGGUGCCCACUGCACAGAGGAGGGAGCGAGGCCCAUCUCCUGUCCUCACGGGAUGCUCAGCUGCAGAAGCCCGGAGCCCCGAGGCAGCCACAGACUCUGGCCAGAGUGAGGCAUGGACCUUCCAUAAUCAUGAGCGAGUGCCAACGUUUGCCAAGUGGCUGCUCUGUGCCUGCCGUGGAGCUGCAAGGUCUAGAGGAGACUCCAGCAGCGGCCUUGAUCACAGAUGCCAUGUGGAGGCCAGAGAGUGGGGAAGCCCCAGGGGACUGUGCAGCGGCCAGAGUGAUCUCUUGCAGAAAUGCCUCACAGACACACUCAGAAGCAAUGUGUGA
rnacentral:lncRNA from 13 species